rnacentral:rRNA from 1 species
AGCUAGUUGCUGAGGUAACGGCCCACCAAGGCGACGAUUGGUAGCCGGACUGAGAGGUUGAACGGCCACAUUGGGACUGAGACACGGCCCAGACUCCUACGGGAGGCAGCAGUGGGGGAUAUUGCACAAUGGGGGAAACCCUGAUGCAGCGACGCCGCGUGGAGGAAGAAGGUUUUCGGAUUGUAAACUCCUGUCGUUAGGGACGAUAAUGACGGUACCUAACAAGAAAGCACCGGCUAACUACGUGCCAGCAGCCGCGGUAAAACGUAGGGUGCAAGCGUUGUCCGGAAUUACUGGGUGUAAAGGGAGCGCAGGCGGGAAGACAAGUUGGAAGUGAAAACCAUGGGCUCAACCCAUGAAUUGCUUUCAAAACUGUUUUUCUUGAGUAGUGCAGAGGUAGAUGGAAUUCCCGGUGUAGCGGUGGAAUGCGUAGAUAUCGGGAGGAACACCAGUGGCGAAGGCGGUCUACUGGGCACCAACUGACGCUGAGGCUCGAAAGCAUGGGUAGCAAACAGGAUUAGAUACCCUGGUAGUCCAUGCCGUAAACGAUGAUUACUAGGUGUUGGGGGAUUGACCCCCUCAGUGCCGCAGUUAACACAAUAAGUAAUCCACCUGGGGAGUACGACCGCAAGGUUGAAACUCAAAGGAAUUGACGGGGGCCCGCACAAGCAGUGGAGUAUGUGGUUUAAUUCGAAGCAACGCGAAGAACCUUACCAGGUCUUGACAUCCGAUGCAUAGCACAGAGAUGUGUGAAAUCCUUCGGGACAUCGAGACAGGUGGUGCAUGGUUGUCGUCAGCUCGUGUCGUGAGAUGUUGGGUUAAGUCCCGCAACGAGCGCAACCCUUAUUGCCAGUUACUACGCUAAGAGGACUCUGGCGAGACUGCCGUUGACAAAACGGAGGAAGGUGGGGAUGACGUCAAAUCAUCAUGCCCUUUAUGACCUGGGCUACACACGUACUACAAUGGCGUUAAACAAAGAGAAGCAAGACCGCGAGGUGGAGCAAAACUCAAAAACAACGUCUCAGUUCAGAUUGCAGGCUGCAACUCGCCUGCAUGAAGUCGGAAUUGCUAGUAAUCGCGGAUCAGCAUGCCGCGGUGAAUACGUUCCCGGGCCUUGUACACACCGCCCGUCACACCAUGAGAGCCGGGGGGACCCGAAGUCGAUAGUCUAACCGCAAGGAGGACGUCGCCGAAGGUAAAACUGUGAUUGGGGUGAAGUCGUAACAAGGUAGCCGUA